rnacentral:rRNA from 1 species
AGAAGGCAGACCCGGAGAACUGAAACAUCUUAGUACCCGGAGGAAGAGAAAGAAAAAUCGAUUCCCUGAGUAGCGGCGAGCGAAACGGGAAGAGCCCAAACCAACAAGCUUGCUUGUUGGGGUUGUAGGACACUCUAUACGGAGUUACAAAAGAACAUGUUAGACGAAUCAUCUGGAAAGAUGAAUCAAAGAAGGUAAUAAUCCUGUAGUCGAAAACAUAUUCUCUCUUGAGUGGAUCCUGAGUACGACGGAGCACGUGAAAUUCCGUCGGAAUCUGGGAGGACCAUCUCCUAAGGCUAAAUACUCUCUAGUGACCGAUAGUGAACCAGUACCGUGAGGGAAAGGUGAAAAGUACCCCGGAAGGGGAGUGAAAGAGAACUUGAAACCGUGUGCUUACAAGUAGUCAGAGCCCGUUAAUGGGUGAUGGCGUGCCUUUUGUAGAAUGAACCGGCGAGUUACGAUCUGAUGCAAGGUUAAGCAGCAAAUGUGGAGCCGCAGCGAAAGCGAGUCUGAAUAGGGCGUUGAGUAUUUGGUCGUAGACCCGAAACCAGGUGAUCUACCCUUGGUCAGGUUGAAGUUCAGGUAACACUGAAUGGAGGACCGAACCGACUUACGUUGAAAAGUGAGCGGAUGAACUGAGGGUAGCGGAGAAAUUCCAAUCGAACUUGGAGAUAGCUGGUUCUCUCCGAAAUAGCUUUAGGGCUAGCCUCAAGUGAUGAUUAUUGGAGGUAGAGCACUGUUUGGACGAGGGGCCCCUCUCGGGUUACCGAAUUCAGACAAACUCCGAAUGCCAAUUAAUUUAACUUGGGAGUCAGAACAUGGGUGAUAAGGUCCGUGUUCGAAAGGGAAACAGCCCAGACCACCAGCUAAGGUCCCAAAAUAUAUGUUAAGUGGAAAAGGAUGUGGCGUUGCCCAGACAACUAGGAUGUUGGCUUAGAAGCAGCCAUCAUUUAAAGAGUGCGUAAUAGCUCACUAGUCGAGUGACACUGCGCCGAAAAUGUACCGGGGCUAAACAUAUUACCGAAGCUGUGGAUUGUCCUUUGGACAAUGGUAGGAGAGCGUUCUAAGGGCGUCGAAGCAUGAUCGCAAGGACAUGUGGAGCGCUUAGAAGUGAGAAUGCCGGUGUGAGUAGCGAAAGACGGGUGAGAAUCCCGUCCACCGAUUGACUAAGGUUUCCAGAGGAAGGCUCGUCCGCUCUGGGUUAGUCGGGUCCUAAGCUGAGGCCGACAGGCGUAGGCGAUGGAUAACAGGUUGAUAUUCCUGUACCACCUAGUAUCGUUUUAAUCGAUGGGGGGACGCAGUAGGAUAGGCGAAGCGUGCUGUUGGAGUGCACGUCCAAGCAGUAAGGCUGAGUGUUAGGCAAAUCCGGCACUCAUAAGGCUGAGCUGUGAUGGGGAGAGGAAAUUGUUUCCUCGAGUCGUUGAUUUCACACUGCCGAGAAAAGCCUCUAGAUAGAUAACAGGUGCCCGUACCGCAAACCGACACAGGUAGUCAAGAUGAGAAUUCUAAGGUGAGCGAGCGAACUCUCGUUAAGGAACUCGGCAAAAUGACCCCGUAACUUCGGGAGAAGGGGUGCUCUUUAGGGUUCACGCCCAGAAGAGCCGCAGUGAAUAGGCCCAAGCGACUGUUUAUCAAAAACACAGGUCUCUGCUAAACCGUAAGGUGAUGUAUAGGGGCUGACGCCUGCCCGGUGCUGGAAGGUUAAGAGGAGUGGUUAGCUUCUGCGAAGCUACGAAUCGAAGCCCC